rnacentral:misc_RNA from 1 species
AAAGUCGUAACAAGGUUUCCGUAGGUGAACCUGCGGAAGGAUCAUCAUUGAUUCCGAUCUUAUAUUACACCCCCCUGUGCAACGUUUUGAUUUAUGCGGCGCCCUGGCGCCGCGUAUUUCUUUUUCUUUUUUUUUUUACCAAAACGCCCAACGAACUCGAAUGACUUUUUAUAUUAUAAAAACACAACUUUUAACAACGGAUCUCUUGGUUCUC